CAAUAGCGUAUAUUAAAGUUGUUGCGGUUAAAAAGCUCGUAGUUGGAUUUCUGCCGAGGACGACCGGUCCGCCCUCUGGGUGAGCAUUGACUCGGCCUUGGCAUCUUCUUGGAGAACGCUACUGCACUUGACUGUGUGGUGCGGUAUCCAGGACUUUUACUUUGAGGAAAUUAGAGUGUUUCAAGCAGGCGCACGCCUUGAAUACAUUAGCAUGGAAUAAUAGGAUAGGACCUUGGUUCUAUUUUGUUGGUUUCUAGAGCUGAGGUAAUGAUUAAUAGGGAUAGUUGGGGGCAUUCGUAUCAACACGUCAGAGGUGGAAUUCUUGGAUUGUGUUGCGACGAACUACUGCGAAAGCAUUUGCCAAGGAUGUUUUCAUUGAUCAAGAACGAAAGUUAGGGGAUCGAAGAUGAUUAGAUACCGU
rnacentral:rRNA from 1 species